ensembl:piRNA 21ur-4664 ncRNA
UGCCAUUUUCCAUAGACGCAG